UUUACAAAUAUAUUUUUCGCACUUCAUACACAAUUUCAACUGAGACGCGGCGACUAUCCCCAGAAAUCUACCAAAAUGCCAACACUACAGAUAUUCACUAAUGUAAAAGAAGGUGAAUUUCCAGAUGGCUUCUUUGCAGGUCUGAGUUCUGUAUUUCAGAAAGCGAUUGGAAAGCCAGAAAAGUAUAUCUGUAUACAUGUCGUGCCCAACCAAAUGAUGAGCUUUGGUGGAUCAACUGAGCCGUGUGCCAUUGCCAAUGUGACUAGUAUAGGCAAACUAGGAGUGGAAGAGAAUAAGGUCCUUACCCAGGUUAUUACGACUGAAAUGCUCAAGAUUGGUGUGAAUGCAGAUCGGAUGUAUGUAGUGUUCAGGGAUGCUGCAAGACAGGAUAUAGGAUGGAACAAUACUACCUUUGCAUCAUAAAAUAAGACUUUUAGCAUGAUCUGUGAUAUAACUAUGUUUCAAGAUAUUUAAAUUCUUUCAUGAUUUGCAUUUGGCUAUGUCUAUCUGCCAAAGGAAUAAAAACAAAAGUUCGUGAAAACUUUUAUUAACUGUCACAUAAUAAGCUGUUGACAUAAUAUUUCAUGUUUAGAUGACACCAUCUUGUUUUGUAAUUGCUCUGCAUUGAUCAAGGUUGAUUUACAAAAAUUACUUCAAAAUGUUUACAAGGUAUUAACUGAUUAUGAAAAUUUUGGUUCAUCCAGGUUAAUAGACACAUGAAAAUUUUUUUGCAUCAAGUCAAUGUGGAAUUUAAGUGGAGGAGGGUUUUGCUAUUGAUCUAGGGAAUUGCAUAAAAUUGGCUGUAGUAGUAAAUUUGCUAUCAAUAGUAAUUCCUCGUGGAAUACAGGCUUGUUUUUCGGCUGUUGAGCAACAUGCCAUGGGUAGCAGCGAUCAAAAUCUAGUAUUUUUCGAAGAGUUAUAUCAAAGUUUUAUGCAACGGGGCCCUGGGCGCUUCUCCAAUAUCCUGACUCAGAUAUGCUGAAGAAGGAUUCAGUACCAGAUGAGAUACUGCCCUCCAAAUUUAAUUUGACUCAGUUAUUUGCAGUAUGAUAUUUAGUCAAAAUGUGCUGUGACAAGGAUUGAUUUUGUUCACAUAGAAUUUGAUAGAAAUGCUAUGAUCUAGUGACUUGCCAUUUAUGUACUGGGCCCCAAAACACAAAACGCCUUUGGGGUGGAAUGCAAAAAUGAAAGAAAACUCUUCAUGGGUUUGGUGAGUGUUUUUAUAUCAAGUUAACAUGACACAACGAUCCAGGUUGGCCAUUGCAAUUUAAACAAACAGUUUUGGAGCCUGCUUUUGUUACUUUAUAAUAAUAUUUGAUUUUCAGAAUCCUUUAGUAUUAUAAAAGAUUGUCACACUUUUAUGAUGAUGAUAUCGAUAAUGAUGAUAUGAUGAAGUCUGUUAUUUUGGUCAUUUGUGUUCAGUGUGAAUAUAUGCCUGUAGGCCUAUUUUUAUUUGCAUGUAAUGCAAUAUCUAAAAAAAAAAAUUUUCAAUUCAAUUCUUUUAUUUCAUUUCCAAUUGAAAGUUUGAUUUACAAAAUUUUAUUGCAGUUCUAAAUAAUUAAAUAUAUCAUGACAAGGAGUACAGUUUAUGUUUAGGAGGUUUAUAGUUAGGAUGGCGAAGAAAACUAGUUUUGAUGGACUUUACUGAUUUAAACUUGCCUGGGAAGUGUCUUCCCUCUUUUUAAAGUAAUCUUUAUUGUUGUUUCAUCAAAGAAAAGAAAAUUUAGAAUCAUGUGAUUUUUUAAAAUCCAUAACAUUACUAUGUCUACAUGAUAUAUCAAAAUUCUUUGAAAAUUGCAACUUGGCCUUUCCAUAUACAUUCGUUUACCAACAAAGUCUGGGUGCAGUCUUACAAAGUGUUAAAAUAUCAAAAUCAAAUUCAAAUUGAAUUUGAUCCGAAUUGUCUUACAGAUUCAAUUAUUUGUAAGACAGGUGUGCUUUACAUGUAUAUUUACAUGUUGUGAUGACUUGCCUUUAUUAUUUUUAUCGUGAAUACAUCCAAGGAAGUUUGUUGCAAAAUAAUGUGGAAAAUAAUGUGUAAUAAAUGUAUGAAUUACAUUUA
rnacentral:misc_RNA from 1 species